CCUACGGGAGGCAGCAGUGGGGAAUAUUGCACAAUGGGGGCAACCCUGAUGCAGCGAAGCCGCGUGAGUGAAGAAGUAUUUCGGUAUGUAAAGCUCUAUCAGCAGGAACGAGACAAGACGGUACCUGACUAAGAAGCACCUGCUAACUACGUAACAGCAGCCGCGGUAAUACGGAGGGGGCACGCGUUAUCCGGAAUUCCUGGGUGUAAAGGGAUCGUAGAGGGCUUAGCAAGCCUGAAGUGAAAGGCGGGGGCCCAACCCUCGGAUUGCGAUGGAAACUGGACGGCUUGAGUGCAGGAGAGGUAGGUGGAAUUCGUGGUGUAGCGGUGAAAUGCGUAGAUAUUACGAAGAACUCCGAUGGCGAAGGCAGCUUACUAAACUGUAACUGACGUUGAGGCUCGAAAGCGUGGGUAGCAAACAGGAUUAGAUACCCUUGUAGUC
rnacentral:rRNA from 1 species